GGAACGCGAACGCGCCGAGCCCGCGCUCUAGGCCGCUUAGAGGGAGCACGGCUUCGACUUUGCCUUCCGUUAAUUUUUACUUGUCUCUGCCGUAGGGCCAGGGGCGGCCCGCCGGCCGAGCCGGCAGGACGGCAAGCAGCGAUGCCAGGUCGGUUUGCUCGCGGAGCUCUAGACGAGGAAGAAGGGCGGAGAGGGCCCAGUCUUCGGUCUCGACCGAUUAGAGGUAGGGCAAGCGAGGGCGGAGGUUUGGGGUUUGGGGUGCGCUAGCGCGCGGGUUAGUGGGCUCCGCUAGGGAGCAACUGGGAGGCGUCGCAGGUCUAGGCCGCUGGCGGCGGAGUUUUCGUAACGGGCUUGGGGAGGUAUUUAGCGGGGCGCCAAGUCAGCUGCCUGUCGUAGGGCGGCGAGAAGCGAGCUGGGGAGGUGGGCGAGAGGGAGGAGCUGGCGGCCGCCUAGGCAGGUCCUCGCCGCGUACACUGAAGCUGGUGUUUGCUUCUACAGAUUAGAGAGUCUCGGGAGUUUUCUUCUACCAAGUCAGCUCUUUUGACCUCGAACCUUAUUGUGUACCUCGUGAGAAUACGCGGUGCGAAGUCAGAUACCACACCGACGACCAAUAACGGACAGUCGUAGAGACGAGAGGUAAUAGUUGUUUACCCGUUAGUACUUCAAAGGGAUGGGACCUCGUGACUGUCGGAAUGUCAUGGAGUGAUCACAACGACCUCAAGAGGACACACCUGUCGAUUUCGAAUAACUCGGUCUAUCCGACUUAAACUCCUGGUACACCUUCAAGGAUGGACGACGACAAUACAAGAUGUAGAGUUAGAAGUGUUUGUCGCUCGAGGACUACGUACGGUUACACCUGUGAAAGUAGCACAAAGCCAGACGACACGGCUAUAAACACCGGUAACCCCUCUGUGAAAUGGAAGUGGUUGGUACGGGUAGUAAGUUCUGUACCGAGAGUGAAAGGUGAUAUGAACCACCUUCACACUAUAUACAAAAGUGUCUAUUGGUCAAGUGGGACUGACGAAUGUCGACCCGUUAUCGGAUAGAUCGCUCGUACAGAUAACUAAAGCACAUGUAGUUCGUGCAGCAGUACUGGUAGCCCAACUUGUGUACCCCAGAACACGAGAUGUUGUUGGAACUCCGAGACAACAACAAGGGGGAACUCGAGGAAUAUUACCCUCUCAAAUUAGUCUACUUCCAGCUGUCGAGGUUCUACUGUUGUUUGACCGAUAGCAAGCUGCACCAGGAAGGACAACGAGACAGUACGGACAAACCCAAUAGAUAUAGGAAGAAACCUAAGAGGACGUCUGCCCGGUAGAGACGAUGACCUAAAUGCCACGAGCCAUAUCACUUGUUCGAGGACUGGCAGCACUAGUUAGACGAAUAGACCCUGUUCGUACGCAGGGAACACCCCUGUUAACCCGAGAACUAUACGUACAGACCACCACAAGAGAUGGUCGUUAGCUGGUGUUUCGGGUUCCACGGGUUCUAGCUCGGUUUCCUUCUCCUGCUACUUCUCCCCGUCUUAAACGACGUCUAAGUCGGGCCCGUACUCUCGUUGGGUUCAGUUUUCGUAAGGAGUAUUCGAAUGAAAUGGAAGGGAGCCGUUGGGUAAGCACCAUAUAGAGUCUACUCCUUAGAACUUGUACGACAUCUUGUAGCCACAAAGUUCUCUUUGAUUUAAAGUAAGAUGUUAUAGAAACAAUAACAUAUGACAAAAAGUAACCAAUCUGUCCUAACACCACCACCACAUCCCAUGGUCUGUGGAGUUGUAUGGUCCCAGCUUAGGGUACAUAUGACUUGGUACAUACGAUAAAUGGUAUAAGGUCUUUAUGUUUCCUACAUGAAUAAGUGAGACGCC
rnacentral:rRNA from 1 species